GACGGAGGGUGCAAGCGUUGUUCGGAAUCACUGGGCGUAAAGCGCGUGUAGGCGGUUUGUUAAGUCGAUUGUGAAAGCCCGAGGCUCAACCUCGGAAGUGCACUCGAAACUGGCAGGCUUGAGUACGGGAGAGGGAAGUGGAAUUCCUGGUGUAGAGGUGAAAUUCGUAGAUAUCAGGAGGAACACCGGUGGCGAAGGCGGCUUCCUGGACCGAUACUGACGCUGAGACGCGAAAGCGUGGGGAGCAAACAGG
rnacentral:rRNA from 1 species